ACGGAAGCUUGCGGCGGUGGAAAAGUAUUUUGGAGGCUCCCCUGAUUUUUUGCGGAAUAUUUGGGAAUUUAUAGGCCAAAGAUCUAGGUCAAGGGGCGGCCAGGGAGGCCACAAGCCUGCCCACCGCCGCCUCCCCCCUGGUGGCGGAGUGGGGGCUUGUGGGCUCCCUGGAGCCCACCUGGCUUGGCCCAAAAGCCCCCUGGACUUCUUCCGUUCGGGAAAAA
rnacentral:lncRNA from 1 species